UGAGUUGGCCAGGCGGCCGCGUCAUCGGGCGACCGAUGCCGAGGAACGUCCGGGCUCCACAGAGCAGGGUGGUGGCUAACAGCCACCCGGGGUGACCCGCGGGACAGUGCCACAGAGAGCAGACCGCCGCCGGCUCGCCGGCGGCAAGGGUGAAAGGGUGAGGUAAGAGCUCACCGCGUCGCUGGUGACAGGGACGGCAUGGCAAACCCCACCCGGAGCAAGGCCAGACAGGAAGCGUUCGAGGGCUGCUCGCCCGAGCUUCCGGGUAGGCCGCUUGAGCCGUGCGGCAACGCACGGCCUAGAUGGAUGGCCGCCCGGUGGACCUCAGGUCCACCCGACAGAACCCGGCGUAUCGGCCAGCUCAUCCG
rnacentral:RNase_P_RNA from 1 species